CACCUAGGACAGAAAAUUAAGGUACUAGAGCCACCUUCUCCAGCAAGUCUGGAAACCAGCUGACUCAUAAAAGUCCAGCAAAGUGACCACUUGAGAAGUGAUUAGGGAUGGUUGAUGACUGUCUCUCAGGAGUUCUGCUGAGCUCAGCUAAUGAGAUUUUGCUUGGAAUUAAAAUCAAAUUUUGGUCCAUCCACUAGGAGAUAAAGAAGCUAAGGUUAUGCUUCCUGAGCUGACCCUUCCUGUCAAAGGGGAAUUUUGAGCUCUGAGUUGGUCUCUGCCAAAAUCGCCUCUGAAGAGGUGUUGCGUAAACAACAGAUCCCAAAAGGACAAACAGAAUGUUGUUGGAUUUUGCUUCCCAGAAAGUUCUG